rnacentral:rRNA from 1 species
CCUACGGGUGGCUGCAGUGGGGAAUAUUGCACAAUGGGGGAAACCCUGAUGCAGCGACGCCGCGUGAAGGAUGAAGUAUUUCGGUUUGUAAACUUCUAUCAGCAGGGAAGAAAAUGACGGUACCUGCCUACGAAGCCCCGGCUAACUACGUGCCAGCAGCCGCGGUAAUACGUAGUGGGCAAGCGUUAUCCGGAUUUACUGGGUGGAAAGGGAGCGUAGACGGUGUGGCACGUCUGAUGUGAAAACACGGGGCUCAACCCCGGGACUGCAUUGGAAACUGCCGAACUAGAGUGUCGGAGAGGCAAGUGGAAUUCCUAGUGUAGCGGUGAAAUGCGUAGAUAUUAGGAGGAACACCAGUGGCGAAGGCGGCUUGCUGGACGAUGACUGACGUUGAGGCUCGAAAGCGUGGGGAGCAAACAGGAUUAGAUACCCUUGUAGUC